rnacentral:rRNA from 1 species
UAGGGAAUCUUCCACAAUGGACGAAAGUCUGAUGGAGCAACGCCGCGUGAGUGAUGAAGGGUUUCGGCUCGUAAAACUCUGUUGUUGGAGAAGAACAGGUGUCAGAGUAACUGUUGACAUCUUGACGGUAUCCAACCAGAAAGCCACGGCUAACUACGUGCCAGCAGCCGCGGUAAUACGUAGGUGGCAAGCGUUGUCCGGAUUUAUUGGGCGUAAAGCGAGCGCAGGCGGUUUUCUUAGGUCUGAUGUGAAAGCCUUCGGCUUAACCGGAGAAGUGCAUCGGAAACCAGGAGACUUGAGUGCAGAAGAGGACAGUGGAACUCCAUGUGUAGCGGUGAAAUGCGUAGAUAUAUGGAAGAACACCAGUGGCGAAGGCGGCUGUCUGGUCUGUAACUGACGCUGAGGCUCGAAAGCAUGGGUAGCGAACAGGAUUAGAU